rnacentral:rRNA from 1 species
CUUUGGGAAAUUUAACCGCUCAACGGUUAAGCUCUCAGGGAAUACUGCUUGGCUUGGGACCGGGAGAGGUCAGAGGUACGUCAAGGGUAGGGGUGGGAUCCGUUAAUCCUUGAGGGACCACCAGUAGCGAAGGCGUCUGACCAGACCGGGUCCGACGGUGAGGGACGAAGGCUAGGGUCGCGAACCGGAUUAGAUACCCGGGUAGUCCUAGCUGUAAACGAUGCGGGCCAGGUGUUGGCAUUACUGCGAGUGAUGUCAGUGCCGAAGGGAAGCCGUUAAGCCCGCCAUCUGGGGAGUACGAUCGCAAGACUGAAACUUAAAGGAAUUGGCGGGGGAGCACCGCGACGGGUGGAGCGUGCGGUUUAAUUGGAUUCAACGCCGAAAAACUCACCGGGGGCGACUGUUAGAUGAGGGCCAGGCUGAUGACCUUGCCCGAUUUUCAGAGAGGUGGUGCAUGGCCGCCGUCAGUUCGUACCGCAAGGCGUUCUGUUAAGUCAGAUAACGAACGAGAUCCCCGCCCUUACUUGCCAUCCCGCUCUCCGGAGCGGAGGAACGUUAAGGGGACCGCUGGCGCUAAGUCAGAGGAAGGUGGGGGCAACGGUAGGUCCGUAUGCCCCGAAUCCCCCGGGCAACACGCGCGCUACAAAGGAUGGGACAAUGGGUCCCAACACCGAAAGGUGACGGUAAUCCCGAAACCCAUUCAUAGUCCGGAUUGAGGGCUGUAACCCGCUCUCAUGAAGUUGGAAUCCGUAGUAAUCGCGGGUCAACAUCCCGCGGUGAAUAUGCCCCUGCUCCUUG